GACGAACGCUGGCGGCGUGCUUAACACAUGCAAGUCGUACGGUAAGGCCCUUUCGGGGGUACACGAGUGGCGAACGGGUGCGUAACACGUGAGUAACCUGCCCACAACUUUGGGAUAACGCUAGGAAACUGGUGCUAAUACUGGAUGUGUGCUCCUGCUGCAUGGUGGGGGUUGGAAAGCUCCGGCGGUUGUGGAUGGACUCGCGGCCUAUCAGCUUGUUGGUGGGGUAGUGGCCUACCAAGGCGGCGACGGGUAGCCGGCCUGAGAGGGUGACCGGCCACAUUGGGACUGAGAUACGGCCCAGACUCCUACGGGAGGCAGCAGUGGGGAAUAUUGCACAAUGGGCGCAAGCCUGAUGCAGCAACGCCGCGUGCGGGAUGACGGCCUUCGGGUUGUAAACCGCGUUCAGCAGGGACGAAGCUUUUUGUGACGGUACCUGCAGAAGAAGCACCGGCUAACUACGUG
rnacentral:rRNA from 1 species